AAGUCGUAACAAGGUUUCCGUAGGUGAACCUGCGGAAGGAUCAUUAACACGUAUCCAACGAUACAAACUAAUACGCAGAACCUAAGGUCCCCGUGCAUUAAAGUUCGACGUCGUCAGGAUUGAGUUGUGGUGGGUCCCCGGGCUUCACGGUCCGGUGUGGCAUGCUCGAACCUGGCUAUCAUUCCUUUGAGAAUGGGACGAAGAGACCUAAUGGCGGGCUAUUUUACCCACCUCCUUUUACCAACCACUUUGGGGGGAGGCUGGGCCCCAUAUCCUAGUUUCACCCUAUUUUACCGAUUUGUCUAAUUUUCUAUGUAUCGAAUGGGAGAAAUCCUAUUUGAUCCAACCUAAGAUAUUAUCUUAACUAAGCACAACUCUUAGCAAUGGAUAUCUCGGUUCUC
rnacentral:misc_RNA from 1 species